UUAUUCUACAUAGCUUAGAAAUGUUUGUUUUAAACAUGUAAGUAGAGUUCUGCUACUCAUUAGCAACCCUCCCCAUAAACUCCACAUCUGUAAUGGUCAAGAAUUUGGAGAACUGAGGUGGUCACUAAAAGGGAGAUGGGGAGCUAAAAGUUAAAUUACUAUGUCCCUUGUGUGCCAUGCCAUGUCUGCUUUUGUUCCAAAUAGUUUACCUUAUUUGGUAAUGUUAAAUUGCUAGCCUAUAACAAAGAAAGGGUGUGAACCUUUUAGAAAUUGAAUAGGAGGAAAAGGCAGACAGGAUUCAGACCACCAAGUGAAAUUGUGGUGAUACAAGCAUUCUGACUAUGAUAAGAUGCUAUAAUAGUACAGCCAGGGCCAGAUUUAGGGAUGUAAACAGGAUACAGGGCACAGGCAUUUGGGCCAUUCAUCAUCCUGCCAGUGGUUAUAUUCAAGGAAUGAAUGAUCUUGUAACGCCAUUUAUUGUUGUCUUUUUACACGAAGUUGUUUCUGCAGGUUGACUACUGGUGGACUCCUUGGACUUUGUGCAGUAACGAUAGUUUGGAUAUUGCAGCUUAUGCGCGCUAUACGGAGUUGUUUGGAAGAUAAAGUGGAAGGGUGAACCAGGAGAGAGGGGGACCUCCAAGACCAGCUGGACCACCAGGGUUUGAUGGAACAGUAGGUUUACCUGGAGAAUCAUUAGACCGGAGUAAUAGAAGAAAAGCCUGCGCCCCAAACAAAGUUGAAAAGCAUAUAAAAAGACCUAAGAAUUCCUUCAUGGUCUGGAAUCAAAUGUACCGGAAGAGUUUUUGUCAAAGAUGGCCCCACUUGCCGAAUACAGAAGUAAAUUGAUGGGUCAGAGCUGGAAACUCCUCUCGGAAGAUGAGCGCCAGACAUUUAUAGAAAAGGCAAAAGAACUGCGUAAAGUGCAUAAACUGAAUUAUCCAAGAAGUCCACCAAUAGUCAGCCUACCCCGCCUGCCAAAGUUCCUUGCUCCCC